GACGUAAUAUACAUCCAUGAUCCAGACCUUAUCGGUAUCCUACCUUCCCCGUGGAUGUGUUACAAGACCAAUCAGAGGCGAUUGCUAGGCGGAAAGAGUCAGCUGGUCGAAUUGGUGUUUUUUCUGCCGUUGUUGGCUUGCGUGUGUUGUCAUUGGUCAUGAGCUUCUGGGAGGAGCGCAGAGAGGCGGAGAAACGAAGCCAGGUAACAGAUUAAAACCAAAGUUUGAACCGCUAGCUCGGUUUGUCAGUACUGUGAGAAAACUUAAUUACCAAAGAAGCCUGGAUGCUAAAACAAGCUUUGAAGCCGCUUAUUUGUCGAACACGAAUUAAGCUGGACGCUGAACACACCUGCGGCGCGAAGGCGUCACCUCAUCCAUGACAUCGUCCAAGAGAUGUUGUCCAUGAUUGCAGACACAUUGUUCAUGAUCGGAGAGACACUGUCCAUGAUUCACAGGGACAUGUGUAAAAGUCGGUAGUGACAGAGUUCCACGAUUUGAAGGCAUCGUCCACGAUUAGAGAGACAUCGUUGAUGAUCACAGAGACAUCGUCCAUUAUCAAAGAGUGUCUUCGUAUAAUGAAGAAGUUCUUUGAGACCAGGACUGAGGCCUCCAGGUGUCACCACUUCGUCCGCAACAUCGUCCACGAUCGCAGAGACAUGGUCCAUGAUCGGAGAGACAUUGUCGAGGAUGAGGGAGACAUCGUCCUCGAUCAGAGACAUUGUCCACGAUCGCAGAGACCUUGUCAAAGACGAGAGAGACGUUGUCCAUGAUCAGAGAUAUUGUCCCAUGCUUCGUAGAGACCUUGCGAUAGAAUCGGCGGAGACGGGGGUCACCGAUUUGACGGCAUUGCCCGCGAUCAUGGAGACAUUGUCGAUGAUCACAGAGACGGCGUCUAUGAUCUCAGAGACAUCGUCCACGAUUGCAAAGACACUGGCCAUGAUCACAGA